GAUUAAGUUAUUAAGGGCGCACGGUGGAUGCCUUGGCACUAGAAGCCGAUGAAGGACGUUACUAACGACGAUAUGCUUUGGGGAGCUGUAAGUAAGCUUUGAUCCAGAGAUUUCCGAAUGGGGGAACCCAGCAUGAGUUAUGUCAUGUUAUCGAUAUGUGAAUACAUAGCAUAUCAGAAGGCACACCCGGAGAACUGAAACAUCUUAGUACCCGGAGGAAGAGAAAGAAAAUUCGAUUCCCUUAGUAGCGGCGAGCGAAACGGGAAGAGCCCAAACCAACAAGCUUGCUUGUUGGGGUUGUAGGACACUCUAUACGGAGUUACAAAGGACGACAUUAGACGAAUCAUCUGGAAAGAUGAAUCAAAGAAGGUAAUAAUCCUGUAGUCGAAAAUGUUGUCUCUCUUGAGUGGAUCCUGAGUACGACGGAGCACGUGAAAUUCCGUCGGAAUCUGGGAGGACCAUCUCCUAAGGCUAAAUACUCUCUAGUGACCGAUAGUGAACCAGUACCGUGAGGGAAAGGUGAAAAGCACCCCGGAAGGGGAGUGAAAUAGAACCUGAAACCGUGUGCUUACAAGUAGUCAGAGCCCGUUAAUGGGUGAUGGCGUGCCUUUUGUAGAAUGAACCGGCGAGUUACGAUUUGAUGCAAGGUUAAGCAGUAAAUGUGGAGCCGUAGCGAAAGCGAGUCUGAAUAGGGCGUUUAGUAUUUGGUCGUAGACCCGAAACCAGGUGAUCUACCCUUGGUCAGGUUGAAGUUCAGGUAACACUGAAUGGAGGACCGAACCGACUUACGUUGAAAAGUGAGCGGAUGAACUGAGGGUAGCGGAGAAAUUCCAAUCGAACCUGGAGAUAGCUGGUUCUCUCCGAAAUAGCUUUAGGGCUAGCCUCAAGUGAUGAUUAUUGGAGGUAGAGCACUGUUUGGACGAGGGGCCCCUCUCGGGUUACCGAAUUCAGACAAACUCCGAAUGCCAAUUAAUUUAACUUGGGAGUCAGAACAUGGGUGAUAAGGUCCGUGUUCGAAAGGGAAACAGCCCAGACCACCAGCUAAGGUCCCAAAAUAUAUGUUAAGUGGAAAAGGAUGUGGCGUUGCCCAGACAACUAGGAUGUUGGCUUAGAAGCAGCCAUCAUUUAAAGAGUGCGUAAUAGCUCACUAGUCGAGUGACACUGCGCCGAAAAUGUACCGGGGCUAAACAUAUUACCGAAGCUGUGGAUUGUCCUUUGGACAAUGGUAGGAGAGCGUUCUAAGGGCGUUGAAGCAUGAUCGUAAGGACAUGUGGAGCGCUUAGAAGUGAGAAUGCCGGUGUGAGUAGCGAAAGACGGGUGAGAAUCCCGUCCACCGAUUGACUAAGGUUUCCAGAGGAAGGCUCGUCCGCUCUGGGUUAGUCGGGUCCUAAGCUGAGGCCGACAGGCGUAGGCGAUGGAUAACAGGUUGAUAUUCCUGUACCACCUAUAAUCGUUUUAAUCGAUGGGGGGACGCAGUAGGAUAGGCGAAGCGUGCGAUUGGAUUGCACGUCUAAGCAGUAAGGCUGAGUAUUAGGCAAAUCCGGUACUCGUUAAGGCUGAGCUGUGAUGGGGAGAAGACAUUGUGUCUUCGAGUCGUUGAUUUCACACUGCCGAGAAAAGCCUCUAGAUAGAAAAUAGGUGCCCGUACCGCAAACCGACACAGGUAGUCAAGAUGAGAAUUCUAAGGUGAGCGAGCGAACUCUCGUUAAGGAACUCGGCAAAAUGACCCCGUAACUUCGGGAGAAGGGGUGCUCUUUAGGGUUAACGCCCAGAAGAGCCGCAGUGAAUAGGCCCAAGCGACUGUUUAUCAAAAACACAGGUCUCUGCUAAACCGUAAGGUGAUGUAUAGGGGCUGACGCCUGCCCGGUGCUGGAAGGUUAAGAGGAGUGGUUAGCUUCUGCGAAGCUACGAAUCGAAGCCCCAGUAAACGGCGGCCGUAACUAUAACGGUCCUAAGGUAGCGAAAUUCCUUGUCGGGUAAGUUCCGACCCGCACGAAAGGCGUAACGAUUUGGGCACUGUCUCAACGAGAGACUCGGUGAAAUCAUAGUACCUGUGAAGAUGCAGGUUACCCGCGACAGGACGGAAAGACCCCGUGGAGCUUUACUGUAGCCUGAUAUUGAAAUUCGGCACAGCUUGUACAGGAUAGGUAGGAGCCUUUGAAACGUGAGCGCUAGCUUACGUGGAGGCGCUGGUGGGAUACUACCCUAGCUGUGUUGGCUUUCUAACCCGCACCACUUAUCGUGGUGGGAGACAGUGUCAGGCGGGCAGUUUGACUGGGGCGGUCGCCUCCUAAAAGGUAACGGAGGCGCUCAAAGGUUCCCUCAGAAUGGUUGGAAAUCAUUCAUAGAGUGUAAAGGCAUAAGGGAGCUUGACUGCGAGACCUACAAGUCGAGCAGGGUCGAAAGACGGACUUAGUGAUCCGGUGGUUCCGCAUGGAAGGGCCAUCGCUCAACGGAUAAAAGCUACCCCGGGGAUAACAGGCUUAUCUCCCCCAAGAGUUCACAUCGACGGGGAGGUUUGGCACCUCGAUGUCGGCUCAUCGCAUCCUGGGGCUGUAGUCGGUCCCAAGGGUUGGGCUGUUCGCCCAUUAAAGCGGUACGCGAGCUGGGUUCAGAACGUCGUGAGACAGUUCGGUCCCUAUCCGUCGUGGGCGUAGGAAAUUUGAGAGGAGCUGUCCUUAGUACGAGAGGACCGGGAUGGACAUACCUCUGGUGUACCAGUUGUCGUGCCAACGGCAUAGCUGGGUAGCUAUGUGUGGACGGGAUAAGUGCUGAAAGCAUCUAAGCAUGAAGCCCCCCUCAAGAUGAGAUUUCCCAACUUCGGUUAUAAGAUCCCUCAAAGAUGAUGAGGUUAAUAGGUUCGAGGUGGAAGCAUGGUGACAUGUGGAGCUGACGAAUACUAAUCGAUCGAAGACUUAAUCAA
rnacentral:rRNA from 1 species